GUCAUCUCGGACACCGUGGUUGCAGGAAGGGUGAUACCUCGCCGCCUUAAACCCAGUCAGAGGAAGAUUAAUGUGAUCGUGUGUGCUCCCAUACAACAUGGCUCACAUCUGCUGACAUGGUCAAAAAAGACCAAGGUUCAGAUUUCAAAGACUCAAACUUCAGAAUCUGACUUUCAGAACCCCUGCUGUUAACAAUUCCCAUUACUCCAAAGAUCCCAGACAUGACGAUGAAGACAUGAAAUGAUAAGUAUAAAUGCAUUCAUUAGAAUAGUCAGAACCUA